AAAAGUUUGGGAGAGGCACACAAGCAGCCUCGGGGGAGAAGACUGAUAUAUUGGGGGAUUUUAAAUGAAGCCCAUGGGUUUGCCGUUUUUAGCUCCAUCGGCCAUGUGACACUGGAGCUCAGGCUGUGGGUGCAGGUAUUUCUGCGAGCACAGAGGACGCACCAGAGCCUUGUGGAGAGGGGGAUCCUUGGGGCUGUCUCGGCGUCUCCCCUCUGCCCUCCCCAAGGACCCUUACCCCAGGUGGGCUCCGUCUCCGCUUCCACACAUCCCGGUGGGCUCCGUCUCUGCUUCCACACGUCCUCCACCUUGGGAUUUCGCCCUCAGAAUCGCCGCCGAUGGUGCCAGGGGGCUGGCUGGGCCUGGGGAGAAGAUUCGGGCUCUGGAUUCUCGUCUACGUUCUGUCACGUGGAACAAGGCAGAGGCCACAAUGAAAGGAUGGGCAUGAGAAUAAAAAAAAAACACAGAGAAAGGCAGCAACCUCUUUGCCUCCCCUCUGUGCUCUUACAGAAAGGAGAAGUCCAUGAAGCUGCUGCAGUGCAGAACAUAGAUCUUCCAGAGAAGAAACAGCUGAAGAAAGACUACCAUACUGGUUACAGUUGUUCCACUUCUUGAGAAGCUGUGUAUUUACCCUCUAAGUGAGAGGGCAAACUUUUGUCCAGGGACAGACCAGUGGGCAGCCCAACAACCACCAUCUUUAUCUGGAGAAAAGAGACAGCUGGUAAGGACAGUAAGGCUCUGAUCUGCUACUCCAGGUACCAGCAGGAAGAAGAGGCUAUAGGAGCAGCUGAAGGAACAGCAGGCAGGGCAAAUUCAAUGUUUCUCAAAAUAAGGAAAAGGGAAGAAGAGCUACUAUUUUAGUUUAAGUUCUCCCCCCCCUUUUUAAUCACCAUUAUCACUGCAUGCUAAUUUGCAUCUAAUUCUGCAGCCUCCUCCCCACUUUUACAUAUACACCACUAACAGCUAGACGUAUUAAGAGCAGAAUCUUUUCAAAUUGUGUCAGUGGAAGAUAUUUUACUGCAAUGCAUUUGCCCCAAAUGCAAAAUAAGAAAUAUUUGAUUUGAAAAUAAUAAAAGAAUAACCCUGAUUUUGCA
rnacentral:lncRNA from 1 species